rnacentral:lncRNA from 1 species
CUUUCUUGAAAUCUUUUACAAUCGCCUUGAUUAAAAUCAUUACAUAAAAUAAUCCUCACUAUAUUUGUUACACAUGGCACAGAAUAAUUUUACACUUUAUAAAUAUGUUUCAUUGAUGCACAAAUGGAAGAAGCAUCCUUUGCCAAAAGCGGUACAGGAACUUAGUUCAAUUUGGCCGCAGUAGCACUUUAAAAAAUGACCACGAGAUGGCGCUGUGGCCAAGGAGAUUAAGCAUGUUUAAACAGAGUUUUCCCUAAUUAUGACAUUAAAUUCCUUUCUUUAAGUAUACAAGAAUCUACCAUUCAACUUAAAGUAGAGUAAGGUUAUUUACCCUAUUUUAAUAGGAUUAACUAGGAGUGAGUCCUUUAAUCAUAGCUCCAUAUAUCAUUCAAAGACUGUUUCACUGGAGUAGGGGGUGUAUUUAAAAAGCCUCUGUAUUUAUUUAAAGAGCCGAUAAUUCUGUUACAUUUUAAUCUGCUUUGACAGCAAUGGAAGGUCAUAGAAAGAUUAGAACAUGAAUUCACAUUUAAAUUGACAUGAUACAAACAUGCACACAUGUGUAUAUACUGAGUGUCUUCAUUAAUGACUCUUGCUUUUUCUCCGUAUAAAUAUAUAAACAUUAAAUAAAGUGCAUGGGAACAGGUCUGUACAUGUAUACAGAUAUAUGUUUGUCUAUAUACACUUGAAUAGAUACUUAUGGAGAGAAAAAACAUACACAUUUGUAAUAUAUUUAGUCAAAAGACAUCUGUCAGGCAGUAUUUAUGUUGAUUCUGAUCAAGAUUGAGUAUAUAGGGGUAGAAUCUGUAAUCUUUUCUCUAGUAUACAAUGAGAUGAGCAGAGUUAUAAACUAAGGCAAAAUACAUUAGAGUGAGACUUUUUAACAUUUGUAUUUUGACGAGUUAGUAUGGUAUAAUCAUUGAAGUAGUUCAGUUCAAAUGUAGCCUCGAUACUGGAGGCUUAAUAUAAAUUCUAGCUUUGAAAAAAACACCUUUCAGUGUAUGUAUAAGGACAUAAUCAGGAUAGCCCCAAUGCAUUUCCAACCACACAAUAGCACCUCUCAUAUUCUUUAGUCUUCAAAUCUAUAAUUUUUUUCAAACAGCUUAGAGCAAAAAACUAUUU